CCUACGGGAGGCAGCAGUGAGGAAUAUUGGUCAAUGGACGAGAGUCUGAACCAGCCAAGUCGCGUGAAGGAUGAUUGCCUUUUGGCUUGUAACCUUCUUUUUUAUGGAACUAAAAUGUUCCCCGGUUGGGAUUUUGUAUGUACCUUCUGAAUAAGGUUCGGUUAACUCCGGGCCGGCAGCGGCGGUAUGACGGAGGAUCCGAGCGUUAUCCGGAUUUAUUGGGUUUAAAGGGGGAGUAGGUGGAUUGUUAGGUCAGUGGUGAAAGUUUGCGGCUAAAGGGGAGAAUUGCAGUUGAUACUGGCAGUCUGGAGUACAGUAGAGGUGGGCGGAAUGCGUGGUGUAGCGGUGAAAUGCUUAGAUAUCACGAAGAACACCGAUUGCGAAGGCAGCUCACUGGACCGCAACUGACACUGAGGCACGAAAGUGUGGGUAUCAAACAGGAUUAGAUACCCGAGUAGUC
rnacentral:rRNA from 1 species